rnacentral:rRNA from 1 species
GACGAACGCUGGCGGCGUGCCUAACACAUGCAAGUCGAGCGAGUAGAUUUCCUUCGGGAAUGAAGCUAGCGGCGGACGGGUGAGUAACACGUGGGCAACCUGCCUCAUAGAGGGGAAUAGCCUCCCGAAAGGGAGAUUAAUACCGCAUAAGAUUGUAGCUUCGCAUGAAGUAGCAAUUAAAGGAGCAAUCCGCUAUGAGAUGGGCCCGCGGCGCAUUAGCUAGUUGGUGAGGUAACGGCUCACCAAGGCGACGAUGCGUAGCCGACCUGAGAGGGUGAUCGGCCACACUGGGACUGAGACACGGCCCAGACUCCUACGGGAGGCAGCAGUGGGGAAUAUUGCACAAUGGGGGAAACCCUGAUGCAGCAACGCCGCGUGAGUGAUGACGGCCUUCGGGUUGUAAAGCUCUGUCUUCAGGGACGAUAAUGACGGUACCUGAGGAGGAAGCCACGGCUAACUACGUGCCAGCAGCCGCCGUAACAC